UUAGGAUUACUGAUUGUUUGGGGACAUCUGAAAUCACUCAGGAUUGUGGUGACCAGUUGAACAGAGAUAUGCCAAAAGCAAGCAGUGAUUUAUAUCCCUGCAGAAGGAGUCUCGCCCUGUCACCAGGCUGGAGUGUGAUGGCGCAAUCUCUGCUCACUGCAACUUCCACCUCCCGGGUUCAAGUGAUUCUCCUGCCUCAGCCUCCUAAGUGGCUGGGACUACAGGUGCCUGCCGCCACGCCUGGCUAAUUUUUUGUAUUUUAGUAGAGAGAGGGUUUAGGCUGGUCUCGAACUCCUGAGCUCAGGCAAUCUGCCCUCCUGAGCUCAGGCAAUCUGCCCUCCUGGGCCUCCCAAAGUGCUAGGAUUACAGGCAUGAGCCACCGCCCUCGGCCACUAUCUUAUUUUUUAGCAUAUCUGAAUUAAAAACAUAAAGCCUUCUCUAUGUAUGUUGAUGAUAAACUUUGGGUUUCAAGGAAAAGAGUCACUCAGGCAACUUCCAAGAAUGGGAGGGGAGAAGGUGUUAUUAUAGGAUACAGUGGAAAUAAAUCUGGGAGGAAUCUCAAUCAUGUUCCAAGAGCUUGCAGGGGCCCAGAGAAAUUCUCACAAUGAGGGCUCACAGGAAAAGCAAGAACACCGAGAGCAGGAAAGCUUGGAGGCUAAGAGUUCCCUUGGAAGUUGAACUACUGCCUGAGAAUAUUAAAACAAAAACAGAAACACGUAAAUAACCAGCCCUGAAACCAGCCUCUCAACUUCUGAUAGGUUAUAUCUACAUUUAUGUACUUUCCU
rnacentral:lncRNA from 1 species